rnacentral:rRNA from 1 species
UACGUAGGAAGCAAGCGUUGUCCGGAAUCACUGGGCGUAAAGCGCGUGUAGGCGGUAUGGCAAGUCUGCUGUGAAAGCCCUCGGCUUAACCGGGGGAGGUCGGUGGAAACUGCCACACUGGAGGACGGUAGAGGGGGGUGGAAUUCCCGGUGUAGUGGUGAAAUGCGUAGAGAUCGGGAGGAACACCUGUGGCGAAGGCGGCCCCCUGGGCCGGCCCUAACGCUGAGACGCGAAAGCGCGGGGAGCGAACGGG